rnacentral:rRNA from 1 species
AUUGAACGCUGGCGGCAGGCCUAACACAUGCAAGUCGAACGAGUGGCGGACGGGUGAGUAAUGUCUGGGAAACUGCCCGAUGGAGGGGGAUAACUACUGGAAACGGUAGCUAAUACCGCAUACCAUCGGAUGUGCCCAGAUGGGAUUAGCUAGUAGGUGGGGUAACGGCUCACCUAGGCGACGAUCCCUAGCUGGUCUGAGAGGAUGACCCGCCACACUGGGACCGAGAAACGGGCCAAAACUCCACGGGGGGCAGGAGUGGGGAAUAUUGCACAAUGGGGGCAAGGCUGAAGGAGCCCUGCCGCGUGUAUGAAGAAGGCCUUCGGGGUGUAAAGGACUUUCCGCGAGGAGGAGUUACCCGGAGAAGAAGCCACGGCUAACUCCGUGCCCGCAGCCGCGGUAAUUC